rnacentral:rRNA from 1 species
GACGAACGCUGGCGGCGUGCUUAACACAUGCAAGUCGAACGGAAAGGCCCCUUUGGGGGUACUCGAGUGGCGAACGGGUGAGUAACACGUGAGUAACCUGCCCUUGACUUCGGGAUAACUUCAGGAAACUGGGGAUAAUACCGGAUAGGAAUCAUUGCUGCAUGGUGGGGGUUGGAAAGCUUCGGCGGUUUUGGAUGGACGUGCGGCUUAUCAGCUUGCUGGUGGGGGAGUGGCUUACCAAGGCUUUGACGGGUAGCCGGCCUGUGAGGGCGACCGGCCACAUUGGGACUGACAUACGGCCCAGACUCCUACGGGAGGCAGCAGUGGGGAAUAUUGCACAAUGGGCGGAAGCCUGAUGCAGCAACGCCGCGUGCGGGAUGACGGCCUUCGGGUUGUAAACCGCUUUCAGCAGGGGCGAAGCUUGUGGUGACGGUACCUGCAGAAGAAGCACCGGCUAACUACGUG